rnacentral:rRNA from 1 species
AGAUUGAACGCUAGCGGGAUGCUUUACACAUGCAAGUCGAACGGCAGCGCGGACUUCGGUCUGGCGGCGAGUGGCGAACGGGUGAGUAAUAUAUCGGAACGUGCCCAGUAGCGGGGGAUAACUACGCGAAAGCGUGGCUAAUACCGCAUACGCCCUACGGGGGAAAGGGGGGGGUUCUUCGGAACCUCUCACUAUUGGAGCGGCCGAUAUCAGAUUAGCUAGUUGGUGAGGUAAAGGCUCACCAAGGCGACGAUCUGUAGCUGGUUUGAGAGGACGACCAGCCACACUGGGACUGAGACACGGCCCAGACUCCUACGGGAGCAGCAGUGGGAAUUUGGACAAUGGGGGAAACCUGAUCCAGCCAUCCCGCGUGUGCGAUGAAGGCCUUCGGUGUAAGCACUUUGGCAGGAAGAACGGACGUGCCCUAAGUACGGACGUACACUGACGGUACCUGCAGAAUAAGCACCGACUAACUACGUCGCCAGCAGCCGACGUAACUCGUACGAGCGGUCG